rnacentral:rRNA from 1 species
UACGGGGGGGGUAAGCGUUGUUCGGAAUUACUGGGCGUAAAGGGCUCGUAGGCGGCCAACUAAGUCAGACGUGAAAUCCCUCAGCUUAACUGGGGAACUGCGUCUGAUACUGGAUGGCUUGGAUUCGGGAGAGGGAUGCAGAAUUCCAGGUGUAGCGGUGAAAUGCGUAGAUAUCUGGAGGAAUACCGGUGGCGAAGGCGGCAUCCUGGACCGACAUUGACGCUGAUGAGCGAAAGCUAGGGGAGCAAACGGG